rnacentral:ncRNA from 1 species
GGUUAAGUUAUUAAGGGCGCACGGUGAAUGCCUUGGCACUAGGAGUCGAUGAAGGACGGCACUAACACCGAUAUGCCUCGGGGAGCUGUAAGUAAGCUUUGAUCCGGGGAUUUCCGAAUGGGGGAACCCACUAUGCGUAAUGGCAUAGUAUCUUCACGUGAAUUCAUAGCGUGUUGAAGACAG